CCAGACUCCUACGGGAGGCAGCAGUGGGGGAUAUUGCACAAUGGGGGGAACCCUGAUGCAGCGACGCCGCGUGGGUGAAGGAGUAUUUCGGUAUGUAAAGCCCUAUCGGCAGGGAAGAAGAAAGACGGUACCUGACUAAGAAGCCCCGGCUAACUACAUGCCAGCAGCCGCGGUAAUACGUAGGGGGCGAGCGUUAUCCGGAUUCACUGGGUGUAAAGGGGGCGCAGACGGCAGCGCAAGCCAGGAGUGAAGGCCCGGGGCCCAACCCCGGGACUGCUCUUGGAACUGCGCGGCUGGAGUGCAGGAGGGGCAGGCGGAAUUCCUUGUGUAGCGGUGAAAUGCGUAGAUAUAAGGAAGAACACCAGUGGCGAAGGCGGAUGACUGGACGGCAACUGACGGUGAGGCGCGAAAGCGUGGGGAGCAAACAGGAUUAGAUACCCUAGUAC
rnacentral:rRNA from 1 species